UACAGAGGGUGCGAGCGUUGUUCGGAAUUAUUGGGCGUAAAGGGCGCGUAGGCGGGCGCCACAAGUCACUUGUGAAAACUCUGGGCUCAACUCAGAGCCUGCAAGCGAAACUGUGGUGCUGGAGUAUGGGAGAGGUGCGUGGAAUUCCCGGUGUAGCGGUGGAAUGCGCAGAUAUCAGGAGGAACACCGAUGGCGAAGGCAGGUCUCUGGGCCGCAACUGACGCUGAGGAGCGAAAGCAUGGGGAGCGAACAGG
rnacentral:rRNA from 1 species